rnacentral:lncRNA from 1 species
UCCACCGAAAAAUCUUUUUGUUGCUUCGCUAGUAAUUUGGCCAUAUUGGCUGCCACCAAUAACUUUUAUUAAUUUUUUUUUGAGAAAAAAGUAGCAUGCUAUUCGUUUCAUUCAUUUAGCAAAUAAAUUUAACUACAGGGUUUGAGGUAAUGUGACCUAAAAAAAUAUUAAAAGUAAACAAAAUAAAAAAUACAAAUAAAAGCAACGAGGAAAAGUCGUAAAAAAAUUACUAAUUCUACUCCUCACUCAAGAUCAAAAUCAAAGUCAUAGAAA